AAAAUGCAGUUACCAUUGUAGAAGGAUAAACAUCUUUCAACGACUUAUUUUAUUUAAAAAAAAAUAUUAAAUAGUUUGAUAAUUCCAGACUAAUCAAGACCUUCAGGAGGCAAGCAAGAAAUGUAGCCUACUUCAAACUAGUCUAGAUGACGUUCAGUGCCAAAUUAAAAUUCUCGAGAAUGAUAAAGAAUCACUAUUAAAGGAAAUAGAAAUUAACAAAGAAACAUCAGCAGCUGAUAAAGCAGAAAUUAGAACAUUAAAACAAGAGUUGGAGAAGAAAGAUAAAACUUUAGAAAUGAAAACUCAUCAAAUGGAAAAUCUCUCUCAGCAGCUAAAAGAUAAAAAGUCGAGCAAAUUUUAUGUUCAAGAUAUAAGUUUAUCUCAGUCUAAAAAGAAACAUGAAGUAAGUUAAUUUUGCAUUCAAAAACAUGUAGAUUUGUGUUUUUAGAAUUAUAAAUCAUGUUUUGUCCAGAAAUAAGCAAUGUAAGAGAAGUAAAUUUUUUUCAAUUCCUUGUUUUAAUAUCCCGACUUUUCCUUGUAUUAAUAGUUACCGGACUCAAUGAAAUCAGAAUGAUAAUACUCUUCCCUGUGUCAUUGCCCUCUGUAAAUUUCGCAUUCAAGGAAAGUGUGUGGCUUCCUUAUUUUACUAUUGUCUUUAAUAGUUUUUGUCCAUAAUCUCUUGCAACAAAAAUCCCUUCCAUAAAAAUACAAAAAUUUAGAUCCCCUA